GACGAACCGUGCGACCGUUGUUCGGAAUCACUGGGCUUAAAGGGCGCGUAGGUGGGCUAUCAAGUCUGGGGUGAAAUCCCGCGGCUCAACCGUGGAACUGCCUUAGAUACUGACGGCCUUGAGGAAGGUAGGGGCAUGCGGAACUGUAGGUGGAGCGGUGAAAUGCGUUGAUAUCUACAGGAACUCCGGUGGCGAAAGCGGCGUGCUGGACCUUUUCUGACGCUGAGGCGCGAAAGCUAGGGGAGCAAACGGG
rnacentral:rRNA from 1 species